AAGUAGUUCGUAGUGACUGCGGAGGAUCAUUAUCGAGUUUUGAACGGGUUGUCUGCUGGCUCGCAAGGGCAUGUGCACGCCUGUCUCAUCCACUCUCAACUUCUGUGCACUUUUCAUAGGCCGGCUUGUGGGUGCGUUCGCGCACUUGUAGGUGUCGGGCUUAUGCUUUAUUACAAACGAUUCAGUUUUAGAAUGUCAUACUUUGCUAUAACGCAAUUUAUAUACAACUUUCAGCAACGGAUCUCUUGGCUCUCGCAUCGAUGAAGAACGCAGCGAAAUGCGAUAAGUAAUGUGAAUUGCAGAAUUCAGUGAAUCAUCGAAUCUUUGAACGCACCUUGCGCUCCUUGGUAUUCCGAGGAGCAUGCCUGUUUGAGUCUCAUGGAAUUCUCAACCUUCGGCUUCAUUGACGAAGGCUUGGACUUGGAGGUCGUGCCGGCUCUCGUAGUCGGCUCCUCUGAAAUGCAUUAGUGCGAACGUUACCGACCGCUUCAGCGUGAUAAUUAUCUGCGUUGCUGUGGAGGGUAUUCUAGUGUUCACGCUUCUAACCGUCUUCGGACAAAUUUCUGAACUCUGAGCUCAAAUCAGGUAGGACUACCCGCUGAACUUAAGCAUAUCAAUAGGNCGGAGGAAA
rnacentral:rRNA from 1 species